GUACACGCUGUGACUAGCAUAUCAAUAAGCGGAGGAAAAGAAACUAACAAGGAUUCCCCUAGUAACGGCGAGUGAAGCGGGAAGAGCUCAAAUUUGAAAUCUUAAAGGGUUUCCCUUUACGAAUUGUAGUUUAAAGAAGUGUUUUCUGUUGAGGUUUUGGUAAAAGUUCUUUGGAAUAGGACAUCAUAGAGGGUGAGAAUCCCGUAUUUGACCUUUACUUUCAACUUUGUGAUACACUUUCAAAGAGUCGGAUUGUUUGGGAAUGCAAUCCAAAAUGGGUGGUAAAUUUCAUCUAAAGCUAAAUAUUGGCGAGAGACCGAUAGCGAACAAGUACCGUGAGGGAAAGAUGAAAAGAACUUUGAAAAGAGAGUUAAACAGUACGUGAAAUUGUCAAAAGGGAAGCGUUUGACACCAGUGUUGUUUUUCUGAAAAUCAAUUAAAGAACUGUUUAUGCUAAGUUGUUUAGACUUUAUCAGCUAACUGUUUAGUUUUGAGCUUUUCUUUAAUGCACUUUUCAGUUAACAAGUCAACAUCAAUUUCUUUUGCUGUAAAAAAGCUUGAGGAAGGUGGCUUGAGAUUCGUCUUAAGUGUUUAUAGCCUCUUGCCUAUGCAGUCGGAGAGAUUGAGGUCUGCAGCGUAGAUCCUUCGGGGCUAAAUGCAUUUGUGCUAAGUUAUAGCAUUUUAUAGACAACUUGUUGACUAUGAUUUGUCUUGUAGCUUACUCGCUUAUGUUAUUUUACCUACGCUUAGGAUGUUGAAGAUGUAGCACAUCAU
rnacentral:rRNA from 1 species